rnacentral:lncRNA from 1 species
CUUGGGAAGGAAUUAGGAAACUUACUACUCUGCUUACAAAGCCAGUGGUUUUGGUGCUGGGGUCUGGUUUACAACCCUGGCUGGGAGACUGGCCUCAGGGAAGAGGGUAUCCCAGCCCAGGGCUCAAGGACUAACUCAUUAGGAGCCCUCCUUCCAGAAGGCGCUGUUCAUUUACACCAACAGGUGUAUGUAUACCUGUUGUUUAUGUCCAUUUACAAAAUUCUCCUAAAGCAAUUUAAUAGUGAAAGAAAACCUGGCACAUCAAAAACCGGACUCCGUAUUUACAAGAUUCUAUAGAAAGAGGUCAUGUCAGCAUACAGCAAGAUGGCAGCCACCUAGAAACCAAGAGAAGAGGCCUCAAGAUAAAACCUACCUUGCCAACACCUGGACUUCCCAUCCAUUGGUCUAUGAGAAAUAUAUUUUUGUUGUUUAAACCACCAGUCUGUGUAUUUUGUUGUGGCAGUCCUAGCUGACUAA